rnacentral:rRNA from 1 species
CGCGUAGGCGGUUUGUUAAGUCGGAUGUGAAAGCCCCGGGCUCAACCUGGGAACUGCAUUCGAUACUGGCCGACUGGAGUGCGAGAGAGGGAGGUAGAAUUCCACGUGUAGCGGUGAAAUGCGUAGAUAUGUGGAGGAAUACCGGUGGCGAAGGCGGCCUCCUGGCUCGACACUGACGCUGAGGUGCGAAAGCGUGGGGAGCAAACA